rnacentral:rRNA from 1 species
GACGAACGCUGGCGGCGUGCUUAACACAUGCAAGUCGAGCGGUAAGGCCCUUCGGGUACACGAGCGGCGAACGGGUGAGUAACACGUGGGUGACCUGCCUCUAGCUCUGGGAUAAGCCUGGGAAACUGGGUCUAAUACCGGAUAUGACUCCACGGCGCAUGUUGUGGGGUGGAAAGCCUUGUGUGGCUAGAGAUGGGCCCGCGGCCUAUCGGCUUGUUGGUGGGGUGAGGCCUACCAAGGCGACGACGGGUAGCCGGCCUGAGAGGGCGACCGGCCACACUGGGACUGAGACACGGCCCAGACUCCUACGGGAGGCAGCAGUGGGGAAUCUUGCGCAAUGGGCGAAAGCCUGACGCAGCGACGCCGCGUGA